rnacentral:rRNA from 1 species
UGGGGAAUUUUGGACAAUGGGGGAAACCCUGAUCCAGCCAUCCCGCGUGUGCGAUGAAGGCCUUCGGGUUGUAAAGCACUUUUGGCAGGAAAGAAACGUCGCGGGUUAAUACCCCGCGAAACUGACGGUACCUGCAGAAUAAGCACCGGCUAACUACGUGCCAGCAGCCGCGGUAAUACGUAGGGUGCAAGCGUUAAUCGGAAUUACUGGGCGUAAAGCGUGCGCAGGCGGUUCGGAAAGAAAGAUGUGAAAUCCCAGAGCUUAACUUUGGAACUGCAUUUUUAACUACCGGGCUAGAGUGUGUCAGAGGGAGGUGGAAUUCCGCGUGUAGCAGUGAAAUGCGUAGAUAUGCGGAGGAACACCGAUGGCGAAGGCAGCCUCCUGGGAUAACACUGACGCUCAUGCACGAAAAGCGUGGGGAGCAAACAGGAUUAGAUACCCUGGUAGUCCACGCCCUAAAACGAUGUCAACUAGCUGUUGGGGCCUUCGGGCCUUGGUAGCGCAGCUAACGCGUGAAGUUGACCGCCUGGGGAGUACGGUCGCAAGAUUAAAAACUU